AUUGAACGCUGGCGGCAUGCCUUACACAUGCAAGUCGAACGGCAGCACGGGAGCAAUCCUGGUGGCGAGUGGCGAACGGGUGAGUAAUAUAUCGGAACGUGCCCAGUAGUGGGGGAUAACUGCUCGAAAGAGCAGCUAAUACCGCAUACGACCUGAGGGUGACAGGGGGGGAUCGCAAGGCCUCUCGCUAUUGGAGCGGCCGAUAUCAGAUUAGCUAGUUGGUGGGGUAAAGGCCUACCAAGGCAAAGAUCUGUAGUUGGGCUGAGAGGACGACCAGCCACACUGGGACUUAGACACGGCCCGAACUCCUACGGGAGGCAGCAGUGGGGAAUUGUGGACAAUGGGCGCAAGCCUUAUCCAGAAAUGCCGCGUGCAGGAAGAAGGCCUUCGGGUUGUAAACUGCUUUGGUCAGGGAAGAAAUCCUCUAGGUUAAUACCCUUGGUGGGAUGACGGUACCUGAAGAAUAAGCACCGGCUAACUACGUGCCAGCAGCCGCCGUAAUAC
rnacentral:rRNA from 1 species